GGAUUGGGACCAAGCAGCAGCAACAGCUCCCACAUUUAAAACAGUUGUGGCUUGUUCGAAUGGAGAAGCUGACGCAUCUGGGCCAAGAUGAUGAAGAUGAUAACUCACAAUCAGCCCCCCGCAUCCCAAAUUUUCCCAACUUGCAAAUUCUAUACGUGAAUGGUUGCGACAGCUUAAAGAAUCUGAGAUCAUCAGCAAUAUCCUUCAACAAUCUAACAAGCUUGCGAGUAAGUGUUUGCAAGGGGCUGAAAUACUUGAUAACUUACUCCAUGGCCAAAAGUUUAACGCAGCUCACAAAAUUGGAAGUUGAGGAGUGUAAGAGACUGGUAUAUAUAGUGGCAAGCAAUGAAGAUGACGAUUCAUUAGGAAGUUAUGAGGUUACAUUCAGGGGGCUGAAACAUUUGAAACUAUAAAGUCUACCAAGAAUGCAAGGCUUUUGCUCCGGAAAUUGCAUUGCUAAAUUCCCGUCCUUGAAAACUUCAAGCAUGAGCAACCGCCUCAAAUUGAAGAUUUUCGAAGCUCAUAACCAAACGCUACAGCUAACAGAUGAAGAGGCAGACACAGAUGUCGAUUACUUCGAGGCAAGUCUGAUUGCUGAGGAUAAACGGAAUUCGGCAAGUACUAAUUGAUAUCUUAACCAGAUUUCACUCUUUCAAACAGUGAAGCUCAUCCGGGGUAUCAAGAUGAAGUGGAAAUCUAGUUUUUGAGGACUACAUUUGGGAAGGGUUAUACUAUACAGACCAAUGUUUGCAUCAGAGGAAGUGGAGAUGGAAAAAUUAUUGGGAGAGAGAUGAAGUUACUUUUGUGGUUUGAUCCGAUCGAUCAUUAUGCUAUAUUAAGGAGAUUAUAAUGUCAAAGUGAUCAGUUUAUCAAGGACCGAACACAAUUUGUCAAGAGCCCUGUAAAUCAUGAAGUUCUGUUUUCCCUGCUCAAAGUCUUUAUCUCCUUCAGCAGGAAUCAUCGAUGAUUGUACCUUCGCUGGAUCUGUAUGCUGAUAGUAUCAGAGGGAAGCUCAAACAGAAUUGAUGCUUCUGAAGUUUCGUCGGAGCUAAAAUCAAAUGGACAAGUUGUGGAUGAAAGUCUGUUCAAAGAUAGCAAGAUGAAUGUGACUGAGAUGCAGAUAGAUGAUUCAAUGCAGAAGUAGGAAUGGAAUGUGAGGUGUCUGUACCAAAGUCAGCUUCAGAUAUCAUUAUGAAAUGAUAUCAGAGGUUAUGGAUGGAUCUGAUGAAAAGAUCUCAGCUGAGGAUAAAGGAACCUCAUUGUGAAGGAGCACAAGAUUUGUUAGUUGCCAAAGAUUCUAAUUAUGUUACUAUUGUUCAAUCUGCGUUGCCACAAACAGUAAACGAAUCCCCAAGUGCUAUGAAAACUGUUGAGCCCAUUUCAUUGACUCAGAGUUCAACUCCCACUAAGAGUUGAUGUGAAUGUGGCUGCCACUGUGAUAGAGCCUAAAGAAGCUUCAAGGCUGAGGCAUUGGGUGAUUAAGAUGGGAAAUUAGAUUUCGAAUCAGGUUCCAGCGUGGAAGGAGAUUCUGAGGAUGAGGGCACUAAAGAUGAGGCAGUGGCUGAAGCUUCAUAUGAGCUUUAGGAUAACAUGAAUGUUGCACAAGUGAAGAAGAAGAUUCUGAGGAUGCGAACUCUGAAGAUAGUCGGUUGAUGAAGCUUCAUCUGAGCUUCAGGAUAACAUGAAUGAUAUCAGGAAGCAAAUGAAGAGGAAGGUUGUUGCCUCUGAGAGUGAGACAAUGUAUUGUGUCUAUGUAGCCUGCUUAGAAUUUACGUUUUUAAAAUGUGUCAAUAUGCACGUCCGGUUAGAACACCAGCUUUUGUAAUAUGUAUAAAUUUCAUAAAGAUGUUUGGUAAACGUUUUUUAA